rnacentral:lncRNA from 10 species
AAAUUUUCUUUCUCCAAGUUGGUUCCUCUUAGAAAUCACCUACAAAACAUUAUAGUUCUUAUGUCCACUAAAAAGUCCUAUGGAAGCACCUACAUAGUCAACCAAAAUCUUGUCUUCUGUCGACAUUUGAUUACAGGUGACUCUGGGUUAAUUUAAGUAAUCUGGGUGGGCACCAUCUAAUCAGCUGCCAGCUAUCAGACUCCAGGUUCUUCAGCUUUGGGACUCUUGGACCUUCAACCAAAGACUGCAGGCUGCACUGUCAGCUUCCCUGCUUUUGAGGUUUUGGGACUCAGACUGGCUUCCUUGCUCCUCAGUUUGCAGACAGCCUAUUGUGGGACCUCACCUUGUGAUCGUGUGAGUUAUUAUUAUUAUUGUUGUUGUUGUUGGUUUAAAGUCUGUUUUGUCUGAAAUCAGAAUAGCAACUCCUUUUGUAUUUUCAGUUUGCUUAGUAUAUUUUUAUCUAUCCCUUU